rnacentral:rRNA from 1 species
AUUGAACGCUGGCGGCAUGCUUUACACAUGCAAGUCGGACGGCAGCACAGAGAAGCUUGCUUCUUGGGUGGCGAGUGGCGAACGGGUGAGUAAUAUAUCGGAACGUACCGAGUAAUGGGGGAUAACUAAUCGAAAGAUUAGCUAAUACCGCAUAUUCUCUGAGGAGGAAAGCAGGGGACCUUCGGGCCUUGCGUUAUUCGAGCGGCCGAUAUCUGAUUAGCUAGUUGGGGGGGUAAAGGCCUACCAAGGCGACGAUCAGUAGCGGGUCUGAGAGAAUGAUCGGCCAAACUGGAACGGGGACACGGCCAGGACUCCUACGGGAGGCAGCAGUGGGGAAUUUUGGACAAUGGGCGCAAGCCUGAGCCAGACAUGCCGCGUGUCUGAAGAAGGCCUUCGGGUUGUAAAGGACUUUUGUCAGGGAAGAAAAGGCUGUUGCUAAUAUCGACAGCUGAUGACGGUACCUGAAGAAUAAGCACCGGCUAACUACGUG